ACGGUUUCUGAGAAUUUCCACUCUGAAUUCACAUUCCGUUCAGUGUUAUCGCCACCCUGUGGAUUUCUUGGGUAAUGAAACUCAGACCGGGAAAUGAAAACGGGGAUUUUCAGUAAAUCGGUUCCAGUAAAUCUCUGCUGCUCUUGUGGGCGCCCUCUUUUGAGCACCGGAGGAAUGAGCACCGUUCUUCAUUCUUUUGGUUUUGUAAAGUUGUAGAGCUGCGUUCAUAACUACCUCGCUGGCUUUGAGCACAACCCAGGAAGAAGUUUGAAACCAAGAAAAUGGUGGUUGGGAAGACCAGGAUGCGCAAUGGCAAGUUGAGGGCAAGCGGGGUACGUGUCCUGAAUUUAUAGAAUCUUUUGACACAAAGCAAGAGAGCCACAGUCAAGACUCAAGUCAAAAGAAAUUUAGACCCCAUCUGGGCAAACAGGCCUCUAAGCAACAAUCUAAGAUUUCCACCUAUUGUUCUGGCAUUCCUUGUAUAAAUGAUUAUGACUGCAGAGAUCUUAGGAAGUGCUGUGGUACCUUUAGAUGUGGCCUGAGGUGCAUACAUCCUCUUAUGAUUGGCCCUGUAUUUUUCAAUUCACCUCCACAAUCCAAGGCAUAAAUAUUGGAUGGAGAAAUGGAUUCAGAUGGAGGCAUCAUUGAGCUUAUUCUUGACUCAUCUCAGUCCAAACAUUACUCUGUCAAUCGUUGUUCUUAAAAUCUGCAUAUUAAAAGCUCAGCAUCAAC
ensembl:lncRNA LINC02366 long intergenic non-protein coding RNA 2366